AUUGAACGCUUGCGGCAUGCCUUACACAUGCAAGUCGAGCGCGAAAGGGGGCAACCCCGAGUAGAGCGGCGGACGGGUGAGUAACGCAUCGGAACGUGCCCAGUAGUGGGGGACAACCUCGAGAAAUCGAGGCUAAUACCGCAUACGACCCACGGGUGAAAGCGGGGGACCGCAAGGCCUCGCGCUAUUGGAGCGGCCGAUGUCCGAUUAGCUAGUUGGCGGGGUAANAGCCCACCAAGGCGACGAUCCGUAGCUGGUCUGAGAGGAUGAUCAGCCACACUGGAACUGAGACACGGUCCAGACUCCACGGGAGGCAGCAGUGGGGAAUUUUGGACAAUGGGGGCAACCCUGAUCCAGCCAUUCCGCGUGAGUGAAGAAGGCC
rnacentral:rRNA from 1 species